UACGAGAGGCGCAAACGUUAUUCGGAAUUACUGGGCUUAAAGAGUUCGUAGGCGGCGCAGAAAGUAGGGUGUGAAAGCCCUCGGCUUAACCGAGGAAUUGCGCUCUAAACUACUGUGCUUGAGGAACCUAGAGGUGAGCAGAACUGAUGGUGGAGCGGUGAAAUGCGUUGAUAUCAUCAGGAAUACCGGAGGCGAAGGCGGCUCACUGGGGGUUUUCUGACGCUGAGGAUCGAAAGCCAGGGGAGCGAACGGG
rnacentral:rRNA from 1 species